rnacentral:rRNA from 1 species
GACGAACGCUGGCGGCGUGCUUAACACAUGCAAGUCGAACGGUGAGGCUCCAGCUUGCUGGAGUGGAUCAGUGGCGAACGGGUGAGUAACACGUGAGCAACCUGCCCCUGACUCUGGCAUAAGCGCUGGAAACGGCGUCUAAUACUGGAUACGAGAAGGGUCCGCAUGGGCACUUUCUGGAAAGUUUUUCGGUUGGGGAUGGGCUCGCGGCCUAUCAGCUUGUUGGUGAGGUAAUGGCUCACCAAGGCGACGACGGGUAGCCGGCCUGAGAGGGCGACCGGCCACACUGGGACUGAGACACGGCCCAGACGCCUACGGGAGGCAGCAGUGGGGAAUAUUGCACAAUGGGCGAAAGCCUGAUGCAGCGACGCCGCGUGAGGGAUGACGGCCUUCGGGUUGUAAACCUCUUUCAGCAGGGAAGAAGCGAAAGUGACGGUACCUUCAGAAGAAGCACCGGCUAACUACGUG